rnacentral:tRNA from 1 species
GGCGGGGUAGCUCAGUUGGUUAGAGCGUUCGGCUCAUACCCGAAAGGUCAGGAGUUCAAGUCUCCUCCCCGCUA